AAGUCGUAACAAGGUUUCCGUAGGUGAACCUGCGGAAGGAUCAUUAACACGUGAAAACGUAUUAAAUCAACCUUUCAACAACCUGUGAAUGUCGCCCCUACCUGUUCCAGCUAAGUUGUUCUGUAUGAUAUGUAGUAGGAUAGAGCUCGCAAGGGUUCUAUGCAAUCGUGCAGACACUAAGGUUUCGAACCUAAGACUUACUGGGAUAGGCUUUUAUUUUUUUCCCCUACUACAAAAAAACAAAACAAACCUUUUUCACCAAUUUAAAAACAAUUGACUGAUGUACGUUGAUAGCAGAAAUGCUGGUCAACACCAUUUAUUCAACUAAGCACAACUCUUAGCAAUGGAUAUCUUGGUUCUC
rnacentral:misc_RNA from 1 species